rnacentral:misc_RNA from 1 species
AACGCACGAGACCUGCGGACCUGCGGAGGGAUCAUUACAGAGCCUAAAAACUCUCAAACCCACUGUUAAUUAUACCUUUUUUGUUGCUUUGGCGGGCAGUCCCAGGGCGGGGCCUUGCCUGUAUUUUUUGCAGGUGUCCGCCGAAAGCACCCCUAAAAUUCUUUUUUUAUAGCUGUCUGAGUUUUAAAAAAAAAUAAGUCAAAACUUUUAACAAUGGAUCUCUAGAUCGGAAGAGCACAC